rnacentral:rRNA from 1 species
CCUACGGGAGGCAGCAGUGGGGAAUAUUGGACAAUGGGCGAAAGCCUGAUCCAGCCAUGCCGCGUGUGUGAAGAAGGCCUUCGGGUUGUAAAGCACUUUCAGUGGGGAAGAAAGCCUUGGGGCUAAUACCCUCGAGGAAGGACAUCACCCACAGAAGAAGCACCGGCUAACUCCGUGCCAGCAGCCGCGGUAAUACGGAGGGUGCGAGCGUUAAUCGGAAUUACUGGGCGUAAAGCGCGCGUAGGCGGUCUGAUAAGCCGGUUGUGAAAGCCCCGGGCUCAACCUGGGAACGGCAUCCGGAACUGUCAGGCUAGAGUGCAGGAGAGGAAGGUAGAAUUCCCGGUGUAGCGAUGAAAUGCGUAGAGAUCGGGAGGAAUACCAGUGGCGAAGGCGGCCUUCUGGACUGACACUGACGCUGAGGUGCGAAAGCGUGGGUAGCAAACAGGAUUAGAUACCCGUGUAGUC